rnacentral:rRNA from 1 species
UUAAGCGACUAAGCGUACACGGUGGAUGCCCUGGCAGUCAGAGGCGAUGAAGGACGUGCUAAUCUGCGAAAAGCGCCGGCGAGGUGAUAUGAACCCUUGACCCGGCGAUGUCCGAAUGGGGAAACCCAGUGCAAUCCGUUGCACUAUCGUUAACUGAAUACAUAGGUUAACGAGGCGAACCGGGGGAACUGAAACAUCUAAGUACCCCGAGGAAAAGAAAUCAACCGAGAUUCCCCCAGUAGCGGCGAGCGAACGGGGAGCAGCCCGGAGUCUGAAUCAGCUUGUGUGUUAGUGGAACGGUCUGGAAAGUCCGACGGUACAGGGUGAUAGUCCCGUACACGAAAAUGCACAUGCUGUGAACUCGAAGAGUAGGGCGGGACACGUGGUAUCCUGUCUGAAUAUGGGGGGACCAUCCUCCAAGGCUAAAUACUCCUGACUGACCGAUAGUGAACCAGUACCGUGAGGGAAAGGCGAAAAGAACCCCGGCGAGGGGAGUGAAAAAGAACCUGAAACCGUGUACGUACAAGCAGUGGGAGCCUCUUUAUGGGGUGACUGCGUACCUUUUGUAUAAUGGGUCAGCGACUUAUAUUCUGUAGCAAGGUUAACCGUAUAGGGGAGCCGAAGGGAAACCGAGUCUUAACUGGGCGUUAAGUUGCAGGGUAUAGACCCGAAACCCGGUGAUCUAGCCAUGGGCAGGUUGAAGGUUGGGUAACACUAACUGGAGGACCGAACCGACUAAUGUUGAAAAAUUAGCGGAUGACCUGUGGCUGGGGGUGAAAGGCCAAUCAAACCGGGAGAUAGCUGGUUCUCCCCGAAAGCUAUUUAGGUAGCACCUCGUGAACUCAUCUUCGGGGGUAGAGCACUGUUUCGGCUAGGGGGCCAUCCCGGCUUACCAACCCGAUGCAAACUACGAAUACCGAAGAAUGUUAUCACGGGAGACACACGGCGGGUGCUAACGUCCGUCGUGAAGAGGGAAACAACCCAGACCGCCAGCUAAGGUCCCAAAGUCAUGGUUAAGUGGGAAACGAUGUGGGAAGGCACAGACAGCCAGGAUGUUGGCUUAGAAGCAGCCAUCAUUUAAAGAAAGCGUAAUAGCUCACUGGUCGAGUCGGCCUGCGCGGAAGAUGUAACGGGGCUAAACCAUGCACCGAAGCUGCGGCAGCGACACUAUGUGUUGUUGGGUAGGGGAGCGUUCUGUAAGCCGUUGAAGGUGUGCUGUGAGGCAUGCUGGAGGUAUCAGAAGUGCGAAUGCUGACAUAAGUAACGAUAAAGCGGGUGAAAAGCCCGCUCGCCGGAAGACCAAGGGUUCCUGUCCAACGUUAAUCGGGGCAGGGUGAGUCGACCCCUAAGGCGAGGCCGAAAGGCGUAGUCGAUGGGAAACAGGUUAAUAUUCCUGUACUUGGUGUUACUGCGAAGGGGGGACGGAGAAGGCUAUGUCAGCCGGGCGACGGUUGUCCCGGUUUAAGCAUGUAGGCGGAGGUUCCAGGUAAAUCCGGUACCUUGUUAACGCUGAGGUGUGAUGACGAGGCACUACGGUGCUGAAGUGAUAAAUGCCCUGCUUCCAGGAAAAGCCUCUAAGCAUCAGGUAACACGAAAUCGUACCCCAAACCGACACAGGUGGUCAGGUAGAGAAUACCAAGGCGCUUGAGAGAACUCGGGUGAAGGAACUAGGCAAAAUGGUGCCGUAACUUCGGGAGAAGGCACGCUGAUGUGUAGGUGAAGCCCCUGCGGGUGGAGCUGAAAUCAGUCGAAGAUACCAGCUGGCUGCAACUGUUUAUUAAAAACACAGCACUGUGCAAACACGAAAGUGGACGUAUACGGUGUGACGCCUGCCCGGUGCCGGAAGGUUAAUUGAUGGGGUUAGCGGCAACGCGAAGCUCUUGAUCGAAGCCCCGGUAAACGGCGGCCGUAACUAUAACGGUCCUAAGGUAGCGAAAUUCCUUGUCGGGUAAGUUCCGACCUGCACGAAUGGCGUAAUGAUGGCCAGGCUGUCUCCACCCGAGACUCAGUGAAAUUGAACUCGCUGUGAAGAUGCAGUGUACCCGCGGCAAGACGGAAAGACCCCGUGAACCUUUACUAUAGCUUGACACUGAACACUGGUCCUUGAUGUGUAGGAUAGGUGGGAGGCUUUGAAGCGUGGACGCCAGUCUGCGUGGAGCCGCCCUUGAAAUACCACCCUUUAAUGGCUGGUGUUCUAACGUGGACCCGUAAUCCGGGUUGCGGACAGUGUCUGGUGGGUAGUUUGACUGGGGCGGUCUCCUCCCAAAGAGUAACGGAGGAGCACGAAGGUUGGCUAAUCCUGGUCGGACAUCAGGAGGUUAGUGCAAUGGCAUAAGCCAGCUUGACUGCGAGCGUGACGGCGCGAGCAGGUGCGAAAGCAGGUCAUAGUGAUCCGGUGGUUCUGAAUGGAAGGGCCAUCGCUCAACGGAUAAAAGGUACUCCGGGGAUAACAGGCUGAUACCGCCCAAGAGUUCAUAUCGACGGCGGUGUUUGGCACCUCGAUGUCGGCUCAUCACAUCCUGGGGCUGAAGUAGGUCCCAAGGGUAUGGCUGUUCGCCAUUUAAAGUGGUACGCGAGCUGGGUUUAGAACGUCGUGAGACAGUUCGGUCCCUAUCUGCCGUGGGCGCUGGAGAAUUGAGGGGGGCUGCUCCUAGUACGAGAGGACCGGAGUGGACGCAUCACUGGUGUUCGGGUUGUCAUGCCAAUGGCACUGCCCGGUAGCUAAAUGCGGAAGAGAUAAGUGCUGAAAGCAUCUAAGCACGAAACUUGCCCCGAGAUGAGUUCUCCCUGAGACUUUAAGUCUCCUGAAGGAACGUUGAAGACGACGACGUUGAUAGGUCGGGUGUGUAAGCGCAGCGAUGCGUUGAGCUAACCGAUACUAAUGAACCGUGAGGCUUAACCU